AUUAACACACAUUAAUACUGAGGAGGUGACCCAAUAAUAGAAAUUAUUAACAUAUAUUACGAAAGAAAUAAGGUAACAAAACCACUGUCAAUGUGCAAAUGGGUACAAAAACCAAUGUGAGAUUUGAUAAACAACAAAUAAAAUGCUAUAAACAAGAAUCAAAAUGUGCAUAAUAAUUGCACCUUGCAAUGUAAAAGGAAGAAAAAUGCAGACUUUAACUUUGGCUGAUAAAUAGGGAUUACAGACUGCAUCUCGCUCAGCAAGGGAUCAUUGUAGAAAAAGAAAUCUGACGAUAAGAAGGAAUUCAAAUUUAGAAGUUGAGCGGUGACAAAAUAAAAGCAAAAAAAUAAAAAGAGUUGAGAUUUUGCAAAAGGAAAUAUUGAAUAGGUAAGUUGAAAAGGGCAAACAAACAUAACGAAGAUGAGAACCCAGGUUUUAAAUGAUAGUAUAAGCAGUUCAAACAAAACCAGGAAUAAAAAGAUAUAGUUACAGAUAUGGUAGCAAAAACAAUUUCAUAGAAGCAAGAACUAUAACUUUUGUCAAAACAGUAGGAGCAAACAAUGAUAAAAAGAGGAGGCAUCAGGUUCACUAUGCAAUCAAGAAUAUAAAUAAACAAUCAGAAGAAAAAAAAAAAAAGUGAAAACACCAACAACCUCAGCAAAAAAAAAAUGCAAGCAACAAAAUGGUCUGAAAUUGAAAAAAAAAAAAACCAAAUUGGGGUUUACACGCAAAAUAAAGAAAGAAAGAUCAUUUCUUAGUUGAGAAUAAUGUCACAAAACCCGACGAACGAAACCUAGAUAAUGCAAAAAAAUAUGAGGAGAUGAAAAAUCGUACAAUAGAAAAAGAAAAAGAUCUCAUUACAUAGUAAUAAGGAAAAAAGGUUUCUUAAAAAACAAAAAAGAUCUCAUCACAUAGUAAUAAGGAAAAAAGGUUUCUUAAACAAACUAAGAUCGAAUGAAUAUAUGGGGCCCCUGAAGAGAAAAUAAAUUAAAAUAAAAUAAAGUAGCCAACAUGUGGUUCAAAAUAUUUGGAUCAACUUACUCUAGACAAAUAUGAACCACGGAGCUUAGGGGCCUUGUACCACCCGGUUGCCACUUUGAAGAAAUAUGAACCACAAAGCUCAAAUUUGGCUUUCGUAUACAAUUUUUUAUUAAGACGUCUGUUACAUGAAACAUGUUGGUUCCUGACAUAGAGCCUCAACCUUUCAUCGAUGUCAUAAUUACAAAUCACACGUAUGUUUCAUCUGCCUAUGUCUAGAAGGUGAUUAAUGCUAUGUGAGUGUUGGACCUCACUUUCUGAUGAUUUAAACAAAAAAUAUCAUGUGUCUUUGUGCAUGUGAAAUGUAUGUCCAAACCCUUUGUGCAUGAGCAAUACAUAACAUGAUAAAACAAUCGUAUAAAUGGAAAAAGAUCCAUAUAACAUCCACGGAAUGAAUGAGUCGUCAUCAAAGCAUUUUUCUGGGUAAUUAGUUUUGCUACACAAAUUUUGGACCGUCAUUAUUCUUUAAUAUGGGUCAUAGUCUCAAUGAGGCCAAAAGUCUUCAUAUCUUUUCUCACUAUUUGCAACUAUGUCCUUUUGGGCCUAUCUUUUAUCUUUCUUAAGCAUUCCACUUGAACUAGCUCGCACCUCCUAACACGUGUUGUAUUGGAUUUGUGCCGCCCAUGGCUAGCACAUGUAAGUUUACUUUCUCUCAUCUAAUCUUAUUGGUACCACACCUAAAUUCUCCCAAAUCUAUUUAUUGAAAGUUGGAUUAUGCAAUCAAACAUGGUGUAUAUAAAUUAAAAUUUUUGAGAGAGAGAUAAAGAGAGAAGAGAUAAUAAGUGUAGUGAUUUUAUGAGAUAGGAGAGCAUCCUUUUAUAGAUUUCUUAUGUCUUAGGGUUUGCAUCAAUUUGUAUGGUCAAAUCUUGAUCGUCGAUCAAGGGAGACUUGUGGGGUGAGAGAUGUGAGUGAUUCAUCCCUUUGAUCCACCAUCAAGAUUCAAAGGGGUGUGUGCUAGAGCCUCUUCCUCCCUUUCCUAGUACCAUUCCCAUCAAAUCUUUCAAAUAAAGAAAGUUUCUAUUUUUAUAUAUCUAAUUCUUAUUUGUUAGAUCAAGCAAUCUAGAUUCAAAGAUUUACUAAAUAUUUCAAAUAUUUAAUCUUAUCAUAUAAGUUGGCUAUACCCAAAAAAAAAAGCCAACAAACAAGGGGACAACUGUCACCCAAUCAUGGUGAAGACGUUAGUCACAAUGGGUGAGGCGUGCCACCCUUUGGUGACCAUACGUUGCCCCACCCAAUCCCACAUGUUCAAAAUUGAGCCCCUAUAUUUAUGGAGGUCUCAUAUAUUUUUAGAAAAUAUUUUAUUUUGUAUUUGAAAUUUUAAAAUCUUAUAUUUUAUUUAAAAUAUUGAAAAAUUAAUUUUUUUCUUAACUUAUAAAUCCAAAUGACAAAAAUAAAAUAUCAAAAGAUUCACAAAAAUUCAAAUAAACAUCUAAAAAUCAUAUAUCAUAAAAUUAAUUAAAGCUAAUUAAUUUUGAUGGGAAUGGGAUCCGUUAGAUCUAGGAAUUUAUCAAUAUACAGGAGCACUCCACCUUCAACUGCGGAUCACGAUCCACCUAGUUUUCUCAAACUAACCUAACAGUUUCCAUGACUCACAGUCCACUGCAGGGGCUCAUGAUUGGACUACUCAAAAUCAACCGAUAGACUAAGGGACGCAAGCCCAUUAUAUGGAUUUCAGGUUCUCCCCUAGAGACCAAAAAAUUAUGGUCCUUCAGACCAUGAUGCAACCAUGACUCUAUGGUGCAUAGGGGUAAUCUUUCACACAUGUACACGUUUCACCCUCAUUGGUGAGUCUCAAUAUGGUUAUCUAUGUACAUGUCGUGAGAUGAUAUAAGGAUGAGGUUUUUAGUUAUGCCUCUAAAAGUUGUUUAUCACACGGAAGGGCCAUACAGUCCCUCAGCUCUCAUCUGGGCAUACUCCGACAUCAUCUAAGGCUAACCUACAAAAACUUUCUCAAUAGAUCCCUAUGCUCAGGUAUUUU
rnacentral:lncRNA from 1 species